rnacentral:rRNA from 1 species
CAAAUGGCUCAUUAAAUCAGCUAUGAUUUAUUUGGUGAUAUUCCAUGAAAUGGAUAACUGUGGUAAUUCUAGAGCUAAUACAUGCCUCGAAGCCACGACCUCACGGAAUGGCGCAAUUAUUAGGUCAAAAUCAACCGGACUUCGGUCUGUUCCUUUUGACGACUCUGGAUAAUCCAAAUAGCCACAGUUUAUCGUACGGCCUUGUGUCGACGAUAUUCCAUUCAAAUAACUGCCCUAUCAACAGGUUGGAACCACAUUGUGGUACCGCUGUUAUCACGGGUAACGGGGAAUCUGGGUUCGAUUCCGGAGAGGGAGCCUGAGAAAUAGCUACCACAUCCAAGGAAGGCAGCAGGCGCGCAAAUUACCCACUCCCAGAUCGGGGAGGUAGUGACGAAAAAU